CUUGGUGCGAACAGGCCUUAAUGGCAGGAUAGGUGAUUUGCUUCAAAAAAUAUUUUUUUUGUUAUGCUGGUUGAAAGUCUAUUGACAUCCCGAUAGCAAUCACUAAGUUAAGUGGUCUAAAUGUAUUUAUAUCGUCUGUGAAAGGCAUAGGACCAUAAAAUGUUCAUCCAAUCAUAUCCCUCGGUCCGAUGUAUACGAUAGGUCCUACCUGCCUGUCAACGUAUGUCCUCGCGCACCCUGUUUGCGCAGACAUCAUAUGUCAUCAGCGCGUUUCAUACUAUGAUGUGAGGGUGGGAUCUUAUGCUUUCAAAGCUAGCUCGCUAUUGCUAACCUCUUAGAAAAUGACAUACCCUACCUUUAACUCCAAAAGCAACUUUAUUUUGAAAAGUGCUGAGCUACAGCUGCGCUACUGAAAAACAUAGAAAGAGCAAGUUAAUAGAGUUGCUUCUUCCAGUCAGUUACAGCAUCGGUCAAUGGUCAAGACAUUCAUACGUCUCUGAGGGAGCGCUAUUGUAAGCGAAUAUUUGGCAUUAGCAAACUGGCAUGGUUCUCUGAUAAGUAACUUGAUUUCCUGGUGUCCUUAUUUUGUCCAAAACUUCAGCAUAUCAUAUAUUUGUCAUAAUCACAGAUCGUUUUGUAGUGUAGUUGUGGGAGCCCGUUGCCAGUUUGAUAGAUCAGGGUGUACAGUCAAGUGAGAGGGAGUAGGAGUGCAGUGAAAACAAACACAGACGUCUGUGAUUAGGUAAUCAGGGUCUGUGGAAUAACAGUUUUCUGGACUGAACUCAUCACUGCUGAACACAAAGGGAGGGCCGGGAAGCAAUGUGUUCUUUUUGUGAAACGAGAACAGACAAACUGUUACAGCUUGUCAUUGAGUCUAAGCUGAGGAGGAAACACACACACACACAGAUAGUCUACAGACCUUGAGGGUGAUUCUUUUAUUGCCCAUUACUAUUGCAUCACAUGAACACACAGCAAUAAUGAUGUCAAUGUGAGUGGGUGGAGAUGUUGCUAUAGUAACUCUGUUAUGGGUAGCUGUUGCCUGAGCCAAUGAGGAUUUUUCCAGUAUAGUGGGCAAAUGUUGAGAGCGCAUGUCACGUGAAGCUGAGAAGUGUGAUAUAAUCACUGGCAGACAGACAUCAUCUGGGCGAGAAGUGAAUUCCUGCUGGCCUUCAAUGCCCUGCAGUUUAUUCAAGAUUUCUACUUGAUGAACCUCUUAUACAUGGACAGAAUUAAUGAAAGCAUCAUGGCAGCCUUUAUUUUCCCCUCACCUCUGCAUGGCUUCCUGCUGCCAGGGUCUUACUACAUCUUUCACAGCGCAGGCACGGACGAUGCCAGUCCUUCCCCAGUGAUGUCACCUUCUCAGCUGCCAUAAAUGGCGGUCUUGAAGAUGCUGGGACCCAUUUCUCCUGAGGUUUGGGUGCAGAGUCUACGGUGGACGCGGGUGGGGAAGCGUUGGUGGGAGCCUCGUACACGUAUGAUCCUGCACCCCCGAUGUUCACACCUACAUAUUAAC